CAACCGCCGCACACCCGUAGGAAACUCUCCCUACGAGCAUGCAAGGCAUCUAAACCAAAUAUCUCAAAUAUAUAACUAAAAUAAUUCAGCUGAAAUAAAUGCAAUCUUAUUCCAUUGACUGACACAAAUUAUAAAGUUUCACAGUUCUCAAUGCGCAGCGGAACAAUAAAGAUAGAACAUUAAUUUAAAUAAAACCUAAUCUAAGAUAACUUGUGUCAUAAUUCUUGUAUUCGCUCUCCCAUAUUGUAAAACCCCGAAUCGAGCUAAUUCUUCGGAUCUGUAAAAACAGUAAGAAAUCGUAUAAUGAGCUAGACAGCCCAGUAAGUAAUAAACACCUUAACUAGUCAAUUCAUAUAAUAACAUAAAAUAUAAAUACAAAUUACGAUGAAUCAACAUAAUAACAUAAUCAAUUCCUUUUCAAGCACAAAUUCAUUGAAAUCCGUAUCUUUCGAAUAUCCACAUACAUAAUCAUAAAUCUGAUUCGAAACAAAUCACAUUCAUCUCAUCAGCCUUUAGCUACGACCACACUUAUACCCUGUGGCUAGACCAGAAACAGAACCGCACUUAUACCCUACGGAGUGGACCAGAAUACCGCACUUAUACCCUGCGGAGUGGGCCAGAAUACCACACUUAUACCCUGUGGUGGGGCCAGAAUUGCCAAUGCAUAACCCCCUAUUGCAGGGUCCAGAACAUAGUCAGGCUGAGAGUUCUAAAUCUGAUGCACAUCAAAAUUCUUUUGUAACAUAAUAGAUAUAUCAUAAUCCGAUCUAAAUAUGCAUAUACAAUGCAAGAAUAGUAAUAUAACAAUAGUCCGAAAAAUAUUAUUCCAAUUCACAUAUCCAUUUUUCAUUCAAAGCAUCAUCUCGUAAAAUUCAUAAAUCACAUAUAAAUUCAUUAACAAUUUAUUCGAUGCAAAAAUAAUAUUAUAUAAAUGAAGAGUCUAGCGAAGGCAGUUCAUUACUUACAUUGAACGCGAUCCACAACAAAUCCAAUUAAUCUCAUAAAUUCCUCGCAGGACCUAAUAUCCAAAAAUCAUAUUUUCUAUUAAAAUUAAUCACAAUAUAUAAAAAAACUUAAAUUUAAUAUUUUCCAUGGCCGACCCUGCAGGAGUGCCUAGCACCCUGAGUUCGGGUUCGGGUUCGGGUUCGGGUUCAUACCCGUAGACCACCCUCUUCCCUUUAUUUUACUAUUAUUAUUAUUAUUAUUAUCUUUUCUUUUCUUUCCUUCCCUUUUUUUUCUUUUCUUUUUUUUCUCUUCUUUUCUUCUCUUUUCUCUCCCGACUCCCCCUCUUCUCCUUCGGUGAAACAGGGGGCCCCGUGACCCCCCCCUUCUUCUUCUUCCCUCUCGGUCGGACUCCGGGGCGGCCAUGGUGGCCGGCCCCGACGGCGGAGCAAGCCCGACCACCCCCUGCGGCUGGCGGCGGCGAGCACGCCGGCGCUAACGCCUCUAGCCGAAGCGAAGCAUCCCUUUUUGGGCCAAAAUCCGACAAUCGGCCGGCUCAAAAUCACCACCCACCAUGGCUAAUCACCAAGCAAGGAGAAGGAAAAAGCUUACCUUAGCCCCGACGAAGAUCCGGCGCCUCCCUUCCUCUCCGGCGGCGAUGAAGGAAAAGGGUCACCUGUGCUACUUGGCUCUCCUUCUUCCUCUCUCUCUCUCUCCGGCAAUGCGAAGAAAAUCUCCUCCCCCUUCUCCCUGGCGGCUCUUCUCGGUGGUCUUAAGGAGGAGAGGAAGCCCUAAAAACAGGACUUCCUUCUUCUUCGGGAUGGAACCAGUCCAUCCCGUCGCCUCACGUGUGUCGCAUGUGAGGCCAGGGUUUUGGGACUGGGCCGGUCAUUUGGACCGGGCCCAGUUCUGGGGUCUUACAUCCCACCCUCCUAAAAAAAAUUUCGUCCCCGAAAUUUGCGUACCUACAGUUUUAAAAAGUUGAGAAUACUUCUUCAAAAUCAAGUCAUAACACUCUUCAAAUCCAAGUCGUCUUGUCUGACUAAUGUCAAAUAAUUCUAUUCACCAUACUUUCUCUGCACACUCUGAUUUAAACCUCAACAUACCCGUGUCAAGUCUAGAUUUUUUUUUUUCUAGAAUUACUUGCUUGUUGGGACAUUCAUUAUUAUAUCUUAUUCCGUAUGAACACUUUCAAAAGUUAAAAGUUUAUAUUCUUCUUUUGACUAUCAAUCAAAAAAAUGUUAUGUAACUAUUUAAUCCUUUCUAGCAGCAUAAUGAGUUGUCUAACAAAGAGCAGUGGGCAUGGCAAAACAAUAAAUAGAAAUAAAUAUUGGGACUAGAUUAAUACCUGUCGCCAACACAUCAGAAGCCUGUGCAUCUUGCUGUGUAAGUGCAAAUACUCUUCCUUGAGUCUUUGGCCCCUGGCUUCCUUCCAUUGCCUGAGUAGAUCUAUUCUCGUUUCUUUAUGGGCAGUUUGCAAUUUUAUGACCUAUCUUACCACAUCUAAAACAGGCACCGGUGUUCCAAUGGCAAUCCUUGUCAGCAUGAGCCUUACCACAUCUGGAACAUUUAUUGCUAUUCAUCUGCUUAGGGUUGUCACUCGUAGAUUUCUUGUUUGAACUUUUAGCGUUUUCAUUGCUCUGCCCCUGGAAAUCAUUUGACCUGUUCCUCUUCUUUUGAUUUCUUUCCCUUUCCAACCGUUCAUCAUUAACUUCCCUUUCAAUUAUCAAAGCCUUAUUUACCACAGCUGCAUAAGUAGUCAAUUCAUAAGGUACCACUUGUUUUCUAAUUUCAGUCUUUAGUCCCAUCUCAAAUUUAUGCGUUCGAUCUAGUUCAUCUUCGACUAACUUUGGAACAAAUUUGGCUAGCUCGGUAAAUUUGGCUUCAUAUUCUGCAACAAUCAUAUUUCUUUGCUUUAGAUGAAUAAACUCCUGCUCUUUUUGCGUCCUUACACUCCGAAGAAAAUACUUAUCAUAAAAGGCUCCUCAAAAUUUUUCCCAAGUGAGUGGCUCCCUAUCCUGCUCAUAUUUAUGUUCCAACAUCUGCCACCAGUUGAAUGCCUCACCUUGCAUCAUGUAUGAUGCAAACAAAAUUUUUUCAUCAUCCUGGCAUCUCAAGACAGCAAAUGCUUUUUCCAUCUCUGUAAGCCAAUUGUCUGCUUCCAACGGUUCUGUAGUCCCCUUGAAAGCUGGAGAAGCCAGCCUCUUAAAUUCAGCUAUACUACUAUGCUGUUCACACUGUUCCCCUCGUCCUUGCUGUGGUUGUGUCUGGGGCAACUGCGCUUGUUGUUGGAGCAACUGCUGUUGCACCUGCUGUUGCAUCUGCAUAAGGCCUACUAUGGUCUGCAUAACCUGGCCUAGGCCCGGCUCUUAUUGUCCUAUCUGAGUAUCACUAGCAGGAUUGACGACUCUCUCCUGCUGAGGGGUGUUACUAACUUGUUGGGGUGUGCUGUCAUUUUGCGGGUUGGGUGCCUUAUUAGUAGCUCUGCGAGUAGUCUUUCUCGUCCGACGUGGAGGCAUCCUGAUCUAUGUCUAUCAGAUAGCAGCAUACCAAUAAUAAGCUUACCAGUUCAUUACAAGUACAUAGAAUGGUUAUUACAAUAAUCAUAAACUAACGUCCCAAUGUCCCUAGUGUCUACCCAUCUACACUCAUGUCAUGUCAGAUUUUCUUAUCUUAGAAUUUAUCCAUUCAUGCUCGGAUACCAUAAAAGUUGUCACGCCCCCGACCCGAGAUCGCGAGCCGGGGGUCGCGCCAACCACCGCACACCCGUGGAAAACUCUCCCUACGAGCAUGCAAGGCAUCUAAACCAAAUAUCUCAAAUAUAUAACUAAAAUAAUUCAACUGAAAUAAAUGCAAUCUUAUUCCAUUGACUGACACAAAUUAUAAAGUUUCACAGUUCUCAAUGCGCAGCGGAACAAUAAAGAUAGAACAUUAAUUUAAAUAAAACCUAAUCUAAGAUAACUUGUGUCAUAAUUCUUGUAUUCGCUCUCCCAUAUUGUAAAACCCCGAAUCGAGCUAAUUCUUCGGAUCUGUAAAAACAGUAAGAAAUCGUAUAAUGAGCUAGACAGCCCAGUAAGUAAUAAACACCUUAACUAGUCAAUUC
rnacentral:lncRNA from 1 species